UGUAUAAUGGGUCAGCGACUUAUAUUCUGUAGCAAGGUUAACCGAAUAGGGGAGCCGAAGGGAAACCGAGUCUUAACUGGGCGUUAAGUUGCAGGGUAUAGACCCGAAACCCGGUGAUCUAGCCAUGGGCAGGUUGAAGGUUGGGUAACACUAACUGGAGGACCGAACCGACUAAUGUUGAAAAAUUAGCGGAUGACUUGUGGCUGGGGGUGAAAGGCCAAUCAAACCGGGAGAUAGCUGGUUCUCCCCGAAAGCUAUUUAGGUAGCGCCUCGUGAAUUCAUCUCCGGGGGUAGAGCACUGUUUCGGCAAGGGGGUCAUCCCGACUUACCAACCCGAUGCAAACUGCGAAUACCGGAGAAUGUUAUCACGGGAGACACACGGCGGGUGCUAACGUCCGUCGUGAAGAGGGAAACAACCCAGACCGCCAGCUAAGGUCCCAAAGUCAUGGUUAAGUGGGAAACGAUGUGGGAAGGCCCAGACAGCCAGGAUGUUGGCUUAGAAGCAGCCAUCAUUUAAAGAAAGCGUAAUAGCUCACUGGUCGAGUCGGCCUGCGCGGAAGAUGUAACGGGGCUAAACCAUGCACCGAAGCUGCGGCAGCGACACUAUGUGUUGUUGGGUAGGGGAGCGUUCUGUAAGCCUGCGAAGGUGUACUGUGAGGUAUGCUGGAGGUAUCAGAAGUGCGAAUGCUGACAUAAGUAACGAUAAAGCGGGUGAAAAGCCCGCUCGCCGGAAGACCAAGGGUUCCUGUCCAACGUUAAUCGGGGCAGGGUGAGUCGACCCCUAAGGCGAGGCCGAAAGGCGUAGUCGAUGGGAAACAGGUUAAUAUUCCUGUACUUGGUGUUACUGCGAAGGGGGGACGGAGAAGGCUAUGUUGGCCGGGCGACGGUUGUCCCGGUUUAAGCGUGUAGGCUGGUUUUCCAGGCAAAUCCGGAAAAUCAAGGCUGAGGCGUGAUGACGAGGCACUACGGUGCUGAAGCAACAAAUGCCCUGCUUCCAGGAAAAGCCUCUAAGCAUCAGGUAACAUCAAAUCGUACCCCAAACCGACACAGGUGGUCAGGUAGAGAAUACCAAGGCGCUUGAGAGAACUCGGGUGAAGGAACUAGGCAAAAUGGUGCCGUAACUUCGGGAGAAGGCACGCUGAUAUGUAGGUGAAGUCCCUCGCGGAUGGAGCUGAAAUCAGUCGAAGAUACCAGCUGGCUG
rnacentral:rRNA from 1 species